GACAGAGGGGGGCAAGCGUUGCUCGGAAUCACUGGGCGUAAAGGGCGCGUAGGCGGGAUGGCAAGUCGGUCGUGAAAUCCUUCGGCUCAACCGAAGAACGUCGGCCGAUACUGCCGUUCUUGAGGGAUGCAGAGGAGAUUGGAAUUCCCGGUGUAGCGGUGAAAUGUGUAGAGAUCGGGAGGAACACCGGUGGCGAAGGCGG
rnacentral:rRNA from 1 species